rnacentral:rRNA from 1 species
UCUACGGGUGGCAGCAGUGAGGAAUAUUGGUCAAUGGGCGCGAGCCUGAACCAGCCAAGUAGCGUGAAGGAUGACUGCCCUACGGGUUGUAAACUUCUUUUAUAAAGGAAUAAAGUGAGGCACGUGUGCCUUUUUGUAUGUACUUUAUGAAUAAGGCUCGGCUAACUCCGUUCCAGCAGCCGCGGUAAUAGGGAGGAUCCGAGCGUUAUCCGGAUUUAUUGGGGUUAAAGGGAGCGUAGAUGGGUUGUUAAGUCAGUUGUGAAAGUUUGCGGCUCAACCGUAAAAUUGCAAUUGAUACUGGCAGCCUUGAGUGCAGUUGAGGUAGGCGGAAUUCGUGGUGUAGCGGUGAAAUGCGUAGAUAUCACGAAGAACUCCGAUUGCGAAGGCAGUUCACUGGACUGCAACUGACACUGAGGCUCGAAAGUGUGGGUAUCAAACAGGAUUAGAUACCCCGGUAGUC